GUGCGUGUCUAAAACUGGAGUGGAACGCAGCCCCAGUCUGCAUGAGACAUCACAGCGAUGUGACGUAAUGACGUAAAGAUGAACGGCUGCAUUCUCGAACUUCCUGCGGAAACCCACCAGUACCGCUCUUAUUAGAAAACAUUAUUACAAGCUUACCGUUGUGAAUCGGGCUAAGAGUGAUUUCUGUCUUCCAGUCGGAAAGUCGGAGCAAAGUCCGAGCAACGUCACAAAAUCCGACGUCAUCGUGUGAUACCGACAAGAUCUGGAGUGCUGAUUGACUCCAAUACGGGCUGGUCGAACAUGCUGACGUCAACAGUUUUGAGCAGUUAUCUGCAUUUAUUCAUGACAAAAAGCACAUUUAAUCCAAUCACUGCGCUGUAGUAUGCAUAAGAUUAUAACUGCGGUAUUAUGCAUGAGGAAGUAUCACUUCUCUUGCCUCUGUCUCUGUUGUUGACAUUCAGAGACAUGGGUCGUAGGUGCUCGUUUCCUCAGUGCUACAACACAAAAAUGCGUUUUCCUGUGACGCGACCAGAGCUGAAGUUUGGGUGCAUGUGGUUUGUUUUGCUGUGAUCUACCAGCACAAAUGAAAAUGUUCGUGUGAGAUAGCAUUACAGCGGAGAAUUCAAAUGUCAAAAAAGACCCUUUCAUGACCCUUUAAUUUGUUCCCUUAUUUUAGUUAUAUAGUGGCCAUGAUUUAGAGACGUAAAAAAAGGGAGCAGACAUGUCAUGAGCCCUGGACAUCUCUCUGUAACAAGCAAGACUCUUACGU